GACGAACGCUGGCGGCGUGCUUAACACAUGCAAGUCGAACGAAGUGGCGAACGGGUGAGUAACGCGUAAUCAACCUGCCCUUCAGAGGGGGACAACAGUUGGAAACGACUGCUAAUACCGCAUACUGAAGGAGGGGAUUGCGUCUGAUUAGCUAGUUGGAGGGGUAACGGACCACCAAGGCGAUGAUCAGUAGCCGGUCUGGGAGGGUGAACGGCCAAAAUGGGACUGAGGAACGGCCCAGACUCCUACGGGAGGCAGGCGUGGGGAAACUUCCGCAAUGGACGAAAGUCUGACGGAGCAACGCCGCGGGAGUGAUGACGGCCUUCGGGUUGGAAAGCUCUGUUAAUCGGGACGCGGUACCGGAAUAGAAAGCCACGGCUAACUACGUGCCAGCAGCCGCGGUAAUUC
rnacentral:rRNA from 1 species